AGCGNAGAGUGUGAUCCUGGCGGAGACGAGUUAUCUGAACCUUCGGGGAACGAUAACGGCGUCGAGCGGCGGACGGGUGAGUAAUGCCUAGGAAAUUGCCCUGAUGUGGGGGAUAACCAUUGGAAACGAUGGCUAAUACCGCAUGAUGCCUACGGGCCAAAGAGGGGGACCUUCGGGCCUCUCGCGUCAGGAUAUGCCUAGGUGGGAUUAGCUAGUUGGUGAGGUAAGGGCUCACCAAGGCGACGAUCCCUAGCUGGUCUGAGAGGAUGAUCAGCCACACUGGAACUGAGACACGGUCCAGACUCCUACGGGAGGCAGCAGUGGGGAAUAUUGCACAAUGGGCGCAAGCCUGAUGCAGCCAUGCCGCGUGUAUGAAGAAGGCCUUCGGGUUGUAAAGUACUUUCAGUCGUGAGGAAGGCGGCGUCGUUAAUAGCGGCGUUGUUUGACGUUAGCGACAGAAGAAGCACCGGCUAACUCCGUGCCAGCAGCCGCGGUAAUACGGAGGGUGCGAGCGUUAAUCGGAAUUACUGGGCGUAAAGCGCAUGCAGGUGGUUUGUUAAGUCAGAUGUGAAAGCCCGGGGCUCAACCUCGGAAUAGCAUUUGAAACUGGCAGACUAGAGUACUGUAGAGGGGGGUAGAAUUUCAGGUGUAGCGGUGAAAUGCGUAGAGAUCUGAAGGAAUACCGGUGGCGAAGGCGGCCCCCUGGACAGAUACUGACACUCAGAUGCGAAAGCGUGGGGAGCAAACAGGAUUAGAUACCCUGGUAGUCCACGCCGUAAACGAUGUCUACUUGGAGGUUGUGGCCUUGAGCCGUGGCUUUCGGAGCUAACGCGUUAAGUAGACCGCCUGGGGAGUACGGUCGCAAGAUUAAAACUCAAAUGAAUUGACGGGGGGCCCGCACAAGCGGUGGAGCAUGUGGUUUAAUUCGAUGCAACGCGAAGAACCUUACCUACUCUUGACAUCCAGAGAACUUUCCAGAGAUGGAUUGGUGCCUUCGGGAACUCUGAGACAGGUGCUGCAUGGCUGUCGUCAGCUCGUGU
rnacentral:rRNA from 1 species